CUCACUAUGUCCCAAUAAUGUGCUUAAAGGGCCAGCACCAGUCCAUAAGCCCAAAUAAUGUUUUUAAAGGACCAUACACCCCAGCGCCAUAGUCACAGGGCAAGAGGCUGGCAAGCAGGCCUCUCCAGGACCAAGUGGCAAAGGGCACUUUGUCACACUGUCUAUAAGCAAAGCAAUAGCAUGCCCCUGUGAUGCUCCAUUGUCUGGCACUUUAAGCAGACAAUUGACACCCUCUGUGCCCGAAUCAUUGUCCCAAGGAAGUAACCAUCAAACUUGGCAAGUUGUGGCAGGAAAGCUCAGUAACUAAACAAUGACACUACAUUUCCCCCUCAUUUUCUUUAACCCCUUCAGGACGGAGUCAAUAGUGCACGUUCUGAUCAAAACAAAACGUAAACAAACACUGGAAUUUGCGUUAUAUGUCUGUUCAACCGUAAUUCACCGUUGUCACAUUAAGUGCCCCCACACUUAUUAUAUAUAAUUUUGUUCAGGAGAAACAGGGCUUUAAUUUAGCAUUAACUAUUCAUUAAAG